rnacentral:lncRNA from 1 species
GUUUUUCUCUUUUGGGGGCGAGACAGGGAGGAAGUCAAUGGUGGGGGUGGCGGUCGACGAUUUCCACCAGAAAUUUGAGUGGUGGGCUCGGCGGCUUCCGGGAAGCCUCCAGUGUUGGGUUUCAGUUUGAUACACUCCAUUGAAUUUUACCCUCUUCUCGCAGAUCUAGGGCUUCACAAAUUUCAUUCACUUCACUAAUUUCUGAAAUUCCUGUUUCUCGUUCCCUAAUUUCAUUUCACUUGUCUUACACAGAUGAUUCUGGUACUUGUUUGAAUCCUCAAACAUUUAGAAAUUCCCAAAUGUUUUAUCAAUGAUUCUCUUCUCUUUAUUCACACGUAAGCAGCCAAAUUAUGAUUUAGCGUUCUUGAUUUUGUGUUGUGCACAGAUCCUAAAUGCAGAAUUUUGCAAUGUGAGCUUCUGUACAGGAGAACUGAGACUUACAGAUCCUAAAUGCCGAACUACUUUUGUCUGAAAAAAAGCAAACAUUAAUUAAAUAUAUUAAGAAAUUCAAAUUAAAAAAUAAUCAGAUUAUUAAAAAAUAAAUUUGACCUCAAAAUUGUUUGAAAAUGGUCUGAACUUGCCUAAUCCUUCUCUAUGGAAGAGAUCAUGUGAAAGCAUACAUAAUUAACCUAUUCCUGUUCGAGAUAGGCUGUUGUCUUAUUUGUUCAUGUAUAUGUUUAUCCAAAUGCGUAUUGUUUGGUUUGUAAAAAGUUUCAUUGGUGAAGGUAGUAUUACUUUUUUGUUGUCAUCAUCAGAUAGGCUCUGCUUCGUUAGGUACAGUCACAAUGAUAAUCUGCAGCUUCUGGAACGGUUAUCAAGUUUUCUGGACAUACAUAUAUGUAAAUGCUUCCACAGAUGCUAAUAUUGUGUCGUGAUUUUAGUGUAAUUUUGCACCAUGGUGAAGAAGAUAUAUAUCUACUCAACCGAGGAAGCGAAGAGGCUGUCGACCCAAGAAUAAAGCUUACCCAUGGACAGAGGUACAAAUCUGGGAAGGUCCUGUCUGAUGCAGCUGUUGGCACUGAAGAACAGUCUUCAACCGUUGGAUCUGGUUACUGACGGAGUUUUGCUAGCAAUAAGGUUGAAAGUGCUCCGGAUAAUGGAGAUGAAACCAACAGUUGACCAGCAAUUUUGUUCCAUGCCGGUGAGGCAAAAGUGGUGGUUUUUCGUUCACGUAAUAAUAAUUUUCUCCGGGAGAGUGGUGCUACUACGAUAAGAAUCCGUUAUAGUAUUGUUUGUUUUUGUCAGGAGAAUCUCAUGAUGUUUUGAUUGUUUGGAUCUGAGUUAGGUCUCUGUGUGUACAACAAGUUGUUUAUGUAUAUAUGAUACCUCUUUGUUUCCCCUUGAAAUCUUCUGUUUUGUUUAAUCUUCUUUCUCUACUGUUUGUGAUGACAACUCUCACUGUUGCCCUCUGUACUGAACCCAAAACUUUUCAUUUUGAACUAAUGCAAGGUUGGGUGGUAUAAUGAAAGCCGAACCGGCCCAAGAAAACCCCCACUUUAUUCAACUGCAACGUGUCUUCAUCCUAACAGCAAUGUGCAAUACAUAGUGUGCACGUUAGACAUUUCCCGAAUCUAUACGGCAUAUAAAAGAGAAUUUUAACGGUUAUUCUUUUUCGCCAUUUUUCUCUCUUUUUCUACCAACUCCCCCCCCUGUUUGAUAUUUUCUAAAUAUUGUUCAAUUUUAUUCGCGAAAAAUAUAUUCAACAAUCAUAUUAAAUUAAAAAAAUCAUGUCGAGAUUAAUAUGGUAUGAAUAUCAUUACAAAUAAUUUUUAAACAAAUAAGUUAUGAAAAAUUUAAAAUAUUUUACUUUCUCUCUUUAUUAAAAUUUUAAAACAUUUUAUUUUAUCUCUCAUACCUCUUAAUAUUGAACAUAUGUAUUUUUUUUCUUCUUCUUUAAUAUAAAUUUUAUUUCAAUUUCUAUUUUUGUUAGAUAUCAAUUUUUGAAUUUAUUUUAUAUAUUGUAUGCAUAUAUAUAUAUAUCUAUAUAGAGGAGAGAUCAAAUGAAAACAUUCAUUUAUGUGUUAACUAGGAACCAAUCUGAGCCCUUCANAGCCAUCAGACCGUAAUCCAUCUGAUGUCCUCAGUCAGUUGUGAUCCUGAUAAGUCAUGCCUUAGAUCCCCUCAUGAUGCACACAGCAGGCAACUCCGCAGCUGCACAAGGUAAUUAUUACUUGUACUGCCUUAUUUCAAUGUCACUAGAUGAUAUAAACAGUAAAAUUGAACUAAAUCACCAAUAUCAGUUGAAUUUCUAUUUUCUAAACCAGCUUUAUGGAGGUCUGGGCCUGGGCCGAUUGGGCCGCCGGGCAGGUUUUCAUAUAUUUUCUGAAUUCCUCUGGGAUCCUUAUUGAAUAUUCUCUCUACUGAAAAUAGAAUUGAUAGAGCGGCGGCGGGGUUGAAGGUUUAUGUGCACCGCCGGUUUCGGGCUGAGAAGAAUUAAUUUUAAUGUUCUGAAUUUUAGUUUUGAUUGCCGUUCUUUUAUUAUUCUUACGUAUCUUAUUAUUGUUCUUAUGUUUUAGUUGUGGGCUUAUGCUUUUGCAUGGGCCUGGAUAGGAGUAGGUUAUUAAUAUGUGUUCUACGCUAGAUUAGGGUUAGUCUCUUUUCUGUGUGAAUUUUACAGCCUAGCUGUAGCAGAGUAUCUCGCUCUGUGACCCACGUUUGGGUGUUCUCCUUCAGUUAAUUCCAGUAUUUUAUCUUCCUAACAUCUUAACUCUAUCAGCACGUCUUGGAUUUCUUUCUGAUUAUGCUUUUCUGCUCCUUUUGCUUAGCUAUGGUUACCAGGAGUAAGAUUUCAUUGUUUUAGAUAUGGUAUUGUAGUAAUUACUGUCUAGAAUGCUUCAGCUGUUGUUAGACAAGAACUUAUGAUUAACAAAUGCUUGCAUAGUAGAUCUGCUUUAAGAAAUGUUUAUGAUUAUAUUUUGAAGCGUAGACUGGGCUUUCUUUUCUUAAAUUAGAAAUGUCAGUUUUCUCUCUUUGGAAGACCCUCUACUGGAUUUAUGAAUGAUGUAUGAGAAUGAAUCUCUUAGGUUCACAUGCAAGGAAUUGCUGUUGGCAGAGCAGUAGACCUGACCAGGUUUGAUUGCUAUGAGGAUCUGCUCAAAAAAUUGGAAGGGAUGUUUGAAAUUACAGGGGAACUCUCUGAGUCAACAAAGAAAUGGCAAGUUGUCUACACAGAUGAUGAGGAUGACAUGAUGAUGGUUGGAGAUGAUCCAUGGCAGUUGAGUCAAAUUUACUUAAUUCUUUCACCUUUCUUUUUAUGUAUUGUUUACUAAGGUUGAGUUUACGUUUGUUGUAAAUUUAUCACAAGAAAAUGAGGGAUAAUUUUUUUUUUCUCCCUUUAAAUCCCUCCUCUCUUAUUUAUCGUCUUCUAUAAAAAGAAUUUAACACUUUCUUAUUCCUACAUUUCAUCCAAGGAGGAAUAAUAUUAUCAUGAGGUAUUGGUGUGAAUAAUAUUAUCCCUCCUUGAAAUGAAAAAGAAAGAGGAAUAAGAAAGGGUGAACUUCUUAUAGAAAAUGAGGGAUAAGAAAGGAGGGAUUUAAAGGGAGAUUUUUUUNAUCCUUCAUUUUCUUGUGAUAAAUUUACAACCAAAGUGAACGCACCCUAAAUCUCUUAUGGCUCUUUAUGUCUAGAUUUACUUAUAAGUUGUCUUAUGACCUCUUUUUUUAAUACUCCUUGUGUCCCAACGAAGGUGAGGCGUAUUCCUUUUCGGGCCGUUCCAACGAAGAUGAGCCGUUUCCUUUUUUGACAAAAAUUAGGCAAUUUAAAUCCCUAAUUAAGAAAACUAAUUGCACCGGUUAUUCUUUGUUAAUCUACUCUCUUCUCAAUUCUCACCGCCUCUCGUCAUUCUCUCGACUUUCUCUUCCCUCCGCCUCCUUUGUUUUUUAUUUCCGGCCUUCUAAUUCUUCUUCUCAAUUAGUUCUGACUCCUCCUCCUUGCUGACCAUUGCCUUUUGCAUCUUGUUCGAUCUGGUAUAUCGAGGCCGCUGCCGGUCACCGGAAAAGGCAAGGUAGAGCUGAGGGAUUUUGGGGUUUUUCUCUUUUGGGGGCGAGACAGGGAGGAAGUCAAUGGUGGGGGUGGCGGUCGACGAUUUCCACCGGAAAUUUGAGUGGUGGGCUCGGCGGCUUCCGGGAAGCCUCCAGUGUUGGGUUUCAGUUUGAUACACUCCAUUGAAUUUUACCAUCUUCUCGCAGAUCUAGGGCUUCACAAAUUUCAUUCACUUCACUAAUUUCUGAAAUUCCUGUUUCUCGUUCCCUAAUUUCAUUUCACUUGUCUUACACAGAUGAUUCUGGUACUUGUUUGAAUCCUCAAACAUUUAGAAAUUCCCAAAUGUUUUAUCAAUGAUUCUCUUCUCUUUAUUCACACGUAAGCAGCCAAAUUAUGAUUUUCCUAAAUGCAGAAUUUUGCAAUGUGAGCUUCUGUACAGGAGAACUGAGACUUACAGAUCCUAAAUGCCGAACUACUUUUGUCUGAAAAAAAAGCAAACAUUAAUUAAAUAUAUUAAGAAAUUCAAAUUAAAAAAUAAUCAGAUUAUUAAAAAAUAAAUUUGAACUCAAAAUUGUUUGAAAAUGGUCUGAACUUGCCUAAUCCUUCUCUAUGGAAGAGAUCAUGUGAAAGCAUACAUAAUUAACCUAUUCCUGUUCGAGAUAGGCUGUUGUCUUAUUUGUUCAUGUAUAUGUUUAUCCAAAUGCCUAUUGUUUGGUUUGUAAAAAGUUUACAUUGGUGAAGGUAGUAUUACUUUUUUGUUGUCAUCAUCAGAUAGGCUCUGCUUCGUUAGGUACAGUCACAAUGAUAAUCUGCAGCUUCUGGAACGGUUAUCAAGUUUUCUGGACAUACAUAUAUGUAAAUGCUUCCACAGAUGCUAAUAUUGUGUCGUGAUUUUAGUGAAUUUUGCACCAUGGUGAAGAAGAUAUAUAUCUACUCAACCGAGGAAGCGAAGAGGCUGUCGCCCAAGAUAAAGCUUCCCAUGGCAGAGGUCAAAUCUGGGAAGGUCCUGUCUGAUGCAGCUGUUGGCACUGAAGAACAGUCUUCAACCGUUGGAUCUGGUUACUGACGGAGUUUUGCUAAUGUUGGAGUUGCAAUAAGGUUGAAAGUGCUCCGGAUAAUGGAGAUGAAACCAACAGUUGACCAGCAAUUUUGUUCCAUGCCGGUGAGGCAAAAGUGGUGGUUUUUCGUUCACGUAAUAAUAAUUUUCUCCGGGAGAGUGGUGAUAAGAAUCCGUUAUAGUAUUGUUUGUUUUUGUCAGGAGAAUCUCAUGAUGUUUUGAUUGUUUGGAUCUGAGUUAGGUCUCUGUGUGUACAACAAGUUGUUUAUGUAUAUAUGAUACCUCUUUGUUUCCCCUUGAAAUCUUCUGUUUUGUUUAAUCUUCUUUCUCUACUGUUUGUGAUGACACUGAACCCAAAACUUUUCAUUUUGAACUAAUGCAAAGGUUGGGUGGUAUUCUAGUUAUGAAAGCCGAACCGGCCCAAGAAAACCCCCACUUUAUUCAACUGCAACGUGUCUUCAUCCUAACAGCAAUGUGCAAUACAUAGUGUGCACGUUAGACAUUUCCCGAAUCUAUACGGCAUAUAAAAGAGAAUUUUAACGGUUAUUCUUUUUCGCCAUUUUUCUCUCUUUUUCUACCAACUCCCCCCCCCCCCCCCUGUUGAUAUUUUCUAAACUAUUGUUCAAUUUUAUUCGCGAAAAUAUAUUCAACAAUCAUAUUAAAUUAAAAAAAUCAUGUCGAGAUUAAUAUGGUAUGAAAAUCAUUACAAAUAAUUUUUAAACAAAUAAGUUAUGAAAAAUUUAAAAUAUUUUACUUUCUCUCUUUAUUAAAAUUUUAAAACAUUUUAUUUUAUCUCUCAUACCUCUUAAUAUUGAACAUAUGAUUUUUUUUCUCUUCUUUAAUAUUAAUUUUAUUUCAAUUUCUAUUUUUGUUAGAUAUCAAUUUUUGAAUUUAUUUUAUAUAUUGUAUGCAUAUAUAUAUAUAUCUAUAUAGAGGAGAGAUCAAAUGAAAACAUUCAUUUAUGUGUUAACUAGGAACCAAUCUGAGCCCUUCAUUUUAAAAAAUCUAUGGAGAAGAUUAAUUGAUAAGACUUAAUAUCUAAUUAAAUGUUUUCUACGCAUUUUUUGUGGGAUCUUUCAAAUCAAUUAACCGUCCCUUAUUUAGUGGGAUCAUUUUAGUUUUAAUUGUGUAAAAUUAUUUUAAUAUUUAUCUAUUUCUCUCUCUCUCUAUUUAUUAUUUUUAUUUUCAAAAUAUCAGAGAGUUGUCGGUAUUAUAUUUUGGACGAGAUUGAAUUUUAAUAAAUUUGGUUAAAAUGCUUUUUAUGGUUAGUUAGGUGCUUAUUUUAACAUAAUUAAGUGCUUAUUUAAGUGUAUUCUGAUUGUGGUCAUGUGCUAAUUAAUUAAACUCUUGUAAUUAAUUAAAAAGGUUAAUAAUUAAAAUCAACAGAAGACGAAAAUAUUUAGCACUUAAUUUUGAUGUAAUUAGCAAUUAAAAUUAAGGUAAUUAGCACUUAUAUUAAUAUACAUAUAUAUAGAUGCUAGCAAUAACUUAAAAUAUUUCGACAAAUACUAACUUAAAAAUUCAUUACUAACUUUGUGGUGGGUCAUCUCCAUGUACCAUGCUCAUGUGUUUAAUAAGAUAUCUCCUCUUUCCCUCAAAAAAAAAAAAAAAAUUCAUUACGUAUAACAAAUAAAAUUAUUUUGUUGAUCUCACUAACUUAAAAAAUGUGAUCUUAAAAUUCACUAACUUUAAUUUUAUCCAAAUAUUUACACAUGCAAUACUAACAUUUUAAUAAAGUCCCAAGUGCGUGAAUAUUGUAGACAGCAAAUGGGGGUUGCCUUAGCAUUAUCAUUAUUAUUUUCUCUAUUUAAUGAAUUAAAAAAAAUCUGCUCAUUCUUGAGAGAUAGAGUGCAGAAAUGCCUGCAUAACCAUAGAAGAACAUAUUUGAUUUACAUAAAUAAGAUAUUAUAAAUUUACAAAUGUUAUUAAUUAAAAUCAAGAUAAUUAGAACUUAUUUAGUAUUGAAUUGUGAGGAAAUAAGCAAUUAGAAAUAAGGUAAUUAGCAAUAACCAAAUGAAUGUAUUUGUAUUUGGGAAGUAUUAAUUUGUAACAGCAAAUGAAAUGCUUAAUUAUACUAAAUCAUGUUGAAUUCGUAUAUAUUGCAUGUUAAAAUCAUGCAAGGAUUAGUUUGUAUUGAAUAUUAAAUAAUUUAUGUGAAUCCUAUAUAAAAUCUCAUGGCUAAAUUUGAAAGAUUUGAUUUGCUAAAAUCAAAUCCUUAUUGUUGACCGAUUUUAGCAAUUAAAAAUAAAAAUCCAAGCCAUUUACUAUUUAAUCUGUACCGUUCAAUUAAUGAAGAUCAAUGAUCUAAAAUGGUUCCUAGUUAACACAUAAGGGUUGGUUUCUAUUAUAACCCAUCCCUAUAUAUAUAUAUNUUUUCCUAAAUGCAGAAUUUUGCAAUGUGAGCUUCUGUACAGGAGAACUGAGACUUACAGAUCCUAAAUGCCGAACUACUUUUGUCUGAAAAAAAGCAAACAUUAAUUAAAUAUAUUAAGAAAUUCAAAUUAAAAAUAAUCAGAUUAUUAAAAAUAAAUUUGACCUCAAAAUUGUUUGAAAAUGGUCUGAACUUGCCUAAUCCUUCUCUAUGGAAGAGAUCAUGUGAAAGCAUACAUAAUUAACCUAUUCCUGUUCGAGAUAGGCUGUUGUCUUAUUUGUUCAUGUAUAUGUUUAUCCAAAUGCCUAUUGUUUGGUUUGUAAAAAGUUUGCAUUGGUGAAGGUAGUAUUACUUUUUUGUUGUCAUCAUCAGAUAGGCUCUGCUUCGUUAGGUACAGUCACAAUGAUAAUCUGCAGCUUCUGGAACGGUUAUCAAGUUUUCUGGACAUACAUAUAUGUAAAUGCUUCCACAGAUGCUAAUAUUGUGUCGUGAUUUUAGUGAAUUUUGCACCAUGG